GGCACGGGCCCUACGGGGUGCAGCAGGCGCGAAACCUUUACAAUGCACGAGAGUGCGAUAAGGCUAUACCGAGUGCCAUCCGCUGAGGGUGGCUUUUCCUAGGUCUAAAUAGC
rnacentral:rRNA from 1 species